rnacentral:rRNA from 1 species
GACGAACGCUGGCGGCGUGCUUAACACAUGCAAGUCGAACGAUGAAGCCGGAGCUUGCUCUGGUGAAUUAGUGGCGAACGGGUGAGUAACACGUGAGUAACCUGCCCUUGACUCUGGGAUAACUGCUAGAAAUGGUAGCUAAUACCGGAUACGACCCUCGGAGGCAUCUCCAGGGGGUGGAAAGAAUUUCGGUCAAGGAUGGACUCGCGGCCUAUCAGCUAGUUGGUGAGGUAAUGGCUCACCAAGGCGACGACGGGUAGCCGGCCUGAGAGGGGGACCGGCCACACGGGGACUGAGACACGGCCCAGACUCCUACGGGAGGCUGCAGUGGAGAAUAUUGCACAAUGGGCGCAAGCCUGAUGCAGCAACGCCGCGUGAGGGAUGACGGCUUUCGGGUUGUAAACCUCUUUUAGUAGGGAAGAAGCGAAAGUGACGGUACCUGCAGAAAAAGCACCGGCUAACUACGUGCCAGCAGCCGCGGUAA